rnacentral:piRNA from 1 species
UGGUGUCCGUCUUCACCAUGUGUGUA